UGAUAGACAGCGGGGCACUGAAUGCC
rnacentral:piRNA from 1 species